UGGUGGAGCGAUUUGUCUGGUCAAUUCCGAUAACGAACGAGACUCUAGCCUACUAAAUAGUUCGGGGACCCCCACAAAGGGGCCCCGCUUCAACUUCUUAGAGGAACAGGUGGCGUUUAGCCACACGAGAUUGAGCAAUAACA
rnacentral:rRNA from 1 species